rnacentral:rRNA from 1 species
GGUUAAGCGACUAAGCGUACACGGUGGAUGCCCUGGCAGUCAGAGGCGAUGAAGGACGUGCUAAUCUGCGAUAAGCGUCGGUAAGGUGAUAUGAACCGUUAUAACCGGCGAUUUCCGAAUGGGGAAACCCAGUGUGUUUCGACACACUAUCAUUAACUGAAUCCAUAGGUUAAUGAGGCGAACCGGGGGAACUGAAACAUCUAAGUACCCCGAGGAAAAGAAAUCAACCGAGAUUCCCCCAGUAGCGGCGAGCGAACGGGGAGGAGCCCAGAGCCUGAAUCAGUGUGUGUGUUAGUGGAAGCGUCUGGAAAGGCGCGCGAUACAGGGUGACAGCCCCGUACACAAAAAUGCACAUGCUGUGAGCUCGAUGAGUAGGGCGGGACACGUGGUAUCCUGUCUGAAUAUGGGGGGACCAUCCUCCAAGGCUAAAUACUCCUGACUGACCGAUAGUGAACCAGUACCGUGAGGGAAAGGCGAAAAGAACCCCGGCGAGGGGAGUGAAAAAGAACCUGAAACCGUGUACGUACAAGCAGUGGGAGCACGCUUAGGCGUGUGACUGCGUACCUUUUGUAUAAUGGGUCAGCGACUUAUAUUCUGUAGCAAGGUUAACCGAAUAGGGGAGCCGAAGGGAAACCGAGUCUUAACUGGGCGUUAAGUUGCAGGGUAUAGACCCGAAACCCGGUGAUCUAGCCAUGGGCAGGUUGAAGGUUGGGUAACACUAACUGGAGGACCGAACCGACUAAUGUUGAAAAAUUAGCGGAUGACUUGUGGCUGGGGGUGAAAGGCCAAUCAAACCGGGAGAUAGCUGGUUCUCCCCGAAAGCUAUUUAGGUAGCGCCUCGUGAAUUCAUCUCCGGGGGUAGAGCACUGUUUCGGCAAGGGGGUCAUCCCGACUUACCAACCCGAUGCAAACUGCGAAUACCGGAGAAUGUUAUCACGGGAGACACACGGCGGGUGCUAACGUCCGUCGUGAAGAGGGAAACAACCCAGACCGCCAGCUAAGGUCCCAAAGUCAUGGUUAAGUGGGAAACGAUGUGGGAAGGCCCAGACAGCCAGGAUGUUGGCUUAGAAGCAGCCAUCAUUUAAAGAAAGCGUAAUAGCUCACUGGUCGAGUCGGCCUGCGCGGAAGAUGUAACGGGGCUAAACCAUGCACCGAAGCUGCGGCAGCGACGCUGAUGCGUUGUUGGGUAGGGGAGCGUUCUGUAAGCCUGCGAAGGUGUGCUGUGAGGCAUGCUGGAGGUAUCAGAAGUGCGAAUGCUGACAUAAGUAACGAUAAAGCGGGUGAAAAGCCCGCUCGCCGGAAGACCAAGGGUUCCUGUCCAACGUUAAUCGGGGCAGGGUGAGUCGACCCCUAAGGCGAGGCCGAAAGGCGUAGUCGAUGGGAAACAGGUUAAUAUUCCUGUACUUGGUGUUACUGCGAAGGGGGGACGGAGAAGGCUAUGUUGGCCGGGCGACGGUUGUCCCGGUUUAAGCGUGUAGGCUGGUUUUCCAGGCAAAUCCGGAAAAUCAAGGCUGAGGCGUGAUGACGAGGCACUACGGUGCUGAAGCAACAAAUGCCCUGCUUCCAGGAAAAGCCUCUAAGCAUCAGGUAACAUCAAAUCGUACCCCAAACCGACACAGGUGGUCAGGUAGAGAAUACCAAGGCGCUUGAGAGAACUCGGGUGAAGGAACUAGGCAAAAUGGUGCCGUAACUUCGGGAGAAGGCACGCUGAUAUGUAGGUGAAGUCCCUCGCGGAUGGAGCUGAAAUCAGUCGAAGAUACCAGCUGGCUGCAACUGUUUAUUAAAAACACAGCACUGUGCAAACACGAAAGUGGACGUAUACGGUGUGACGCCUGCCCGGUGCCGGAAGGUUAAUUGAUGGGGUUAGCGCAAGCGAAGCUCUUGAUCGAAGCCCCGGUAAACGGCGGCCGUAACUAUAACGGUCCUAAGGUAGCGAAAUUCCUUGUCGGGUAAGUUCCGACCUGCACGAAUGGCGUAAUGAUGGCCAGGCUGUCUCCACCCGAGACUCAGUGAAAUUGAACUCGCUGUGAAGAUGCAGUGUACCCGCGGCAAGACGGAAAGACCCCGUGAACCUUUACUAUAGCUUGACACUGAACAUUGAGCCUUGAUGUGUAGGAUAGGUGGGAGGCUUAGAAGUGUGGACGCCAGUCUGCAUGGAGCCGACCUUGAAAUACCACCCUUUAAUGUUUGAUGUUCUAACGUUGACCCGUAAUCCGGGUUGCGGACAGUGUCUGGUGGGUAGUUUGACUGGGGCGGUCUCCUCCUAAAGAGUAACGGAGGAGCACGAAGGUUGGCUAAUCCUGGUCGGACAUCAGGAGGUUAGUGCAAUGGCAUAAGCCAGCUUGACUGCGAGCGUGACGGCGCGAGCAGGUGCGAAAGCAGGUCAUAGUGAUCCGGUGGUUCUGAAUGGAAGGGCCAUCGCUCAACGGAUAAAAGGUACUCCGGGGAUAACAGGCUGAUACCGCCCAAGAGUUCAUAUCGACGGCGGUGUUUGGCACCUCGAUGUCGGCUCAUCACAUCCUGGGGCUGAAGUAGGUCCCAAGGGUAUGGCUGUUCGCCAUUUAAAGUGGUACGCGAGCUGGGUUUAGAACGUCGUGAGACAGUUCGGUCCCUAUCUGCCGUGGGCGCUGGAGAACUGAGGGGGGCUGCUCCUAGUACGAGAGGACCGGAGUGGACGCAUCACUGGUGUUCGGGUUGUCAUGCCAAUGGCACUGCCCGGUAGCUAAAUGCGGAAGAGAUAAGUGCUGAAAGCAUCUAAGCACGAAACUUGCCCCGAGAUGAGUUCUCCCUGACUCCUUGAGAGUCCUGAAGGAACGUUGAAGACGACGACGUUGAUAGGCCGGGUGUGUAAGCGCAGCGAUGCGUUGAGCUAACCGGUACUAAUGAACCGUGAGGCUUAACCUU